AUUGAACGCUGGCGGCAGGCCUAACACAUGCAAGUCGAACGGUAACAGGAAGAAGCUUGCUUCUUUGCUGACGAGUGGCGGACGGGUGAGUAAUGUCUGGGAAACUGCCUGAUGGAGGGGGAUAACUACUGGAAACGGUAGCUAAUACCGCAUAACGUCGCAAGACCAAAGAGGGGGACCUUCGGGCCUCUUGCCAUCGGAUGUGCCCAGAUGGGAUUAGCUAGUAGGUGGGGUAACGGCUCACCUAGGCGACGAUCCCUAGCUGGUCUGAGAGGAUGACCAGCCACACUGGAACUGAGACACGGUCCAGACUCCUACGGGAGGCAGCAGUGGGGAAUAUUGCACAAUGGGCGCAAGCCUGAUGCAGCCAUGCCGCGUGUAUGAAGAAGGCCUUCGGGUUGUAAAGUACUUUCAGCGGGGAGGAAGGGGGUAAAGUUAAUACCUUUGCUCAUUGACGUUACCCGCAGAAGAAGCACCGGCUAACUCCGU
rnacentral:rRNA from 1 species